GCUUACACAUGCAAGUCGAGGGGUAUAGUUCUUCGGAUCUAGAGACCGGCGCACGGGUGCGUAACGCGUAUGCAAUCUACCUUUUACAGCGGGAUAGCCCAGAGAAAUUUGGAUUAAUACCUCAUAGUAUGAUACAAUCGCAUGGUUGAAUCAUUAAAGUCACAACGGUAAAAGAUGAGCAUGCGUCCCAUUAGCUAGUUGGUAAGGUAACGGCUUACCAAGGCAACGAUGGGUAGGGGCCCUGAGAGGGAGAUCCCCCACACUGGUACUGAGACACGGACCAGACUCCUACGGGAGGCAGCAGUGAGGAAUAUUGGACAAUGGGCGCAAGCCUGAUCCAGCCAUGCCGCGUGCAGGAUGACGGUCCUAUAGAUUGUAAACUGCUUUUGUACAGGAAGAAACACUCCCUCGUGAGGGAGCUUGACGGUACUGUAAGAAUAAGGAUCGGCUAACUCCGUGCCAGCAGCCGCGGUAGUACGGAGGAUCCAAGCGUUAUCCGGAAUCAUUGGGUUUAAAGGGUCCGUAGGCGGUCUUAUGAGUCAGUGGUGAAAUCUCCCCGCUCAACGGGGAAACGGCCAUUGAUACUGUAGGACUUGAAUUAUUAGGAAGUAACUAGAAUAUGUAGUGUAGCGGUGAAAUGCUUAGAGAUUACAUGGAAUACCAAUUGCGAAGGCAGGUUACUACUAAUGGAUUGACGCUGAUGGACGAAAGCGUGGGUAGCGAACAGGAUUAGAUACCCUGGUAGUCCACGCCGUAAACGAUGGAUACUAGCUGUUGGGCGCAAGCUCAGUGGCUAAGCGAAAGUGAUAAGUAUCCCACCUGGGGAGUACGUUCGCAAGAAUGAAACUCAAAGGAAUUGACGGGGGCCCGCACAAGCGGUGGAGCAUGUGGUUUAAUUCGAUGAUACGCGAGGAACCUUACCCAGGCUUAAAUGUAGAUUGACCGUUUU
rnacentral:rRNA from 1 species